rnacentral:rRNA from 1 species
GAUGAACGCUGGCGGCGUGCUUAACACAUGCAAGUCGAACGUGAGGGGGUAGCAAUAUCCUUGAAAGUGGCGCACGGGUGAGUAAUACGUAGGUAACCUGCCUUGGAGUGGGGGAUAACAGCUAGAAAUGGCUGCUAAUACCGCAUGAGGCCGAGACACUGGGAAGUGUUUUGGCGAAAACUCUGGUGCUUCAGGAGGGGCCUGCGGCCGAUUAGCUAGUUGGCGGGGUAAGAGCCCACCAAGGCAUUGAUCGGUAGCUGGUCUGAGAGGACGAUCAGCCACACGGGAACUGAGACACGGUCCCGACUCCUACGGGGGGCAGCAGUGAGGAAUAUUGGGCAAUGGGCGGAAGCCUGACCCAGCAACGCCGCGUGGAGGAAGACGGCCUUCGGGUUGUAAACUCCUUUUACGGGGGAAGAGGAAGGACGGUACCCGAGAAUAAGUCACGGCGUAACUACGUGCCAGCAGCCGCGGUAAU